rnacentral:tRNA from 1 species
UCCGGGGUAGCUCAACCGGCAGAGCGGGGGCCUGUUAAGCCCAAGGUUGGGAGUUCGAGUCUCCCCCCCGGAGCCC